rnacentral:rRNA from 1 species
CCUACGGUAGGCAGCAGUGGGGGAUAUUGCACAAUGGGGGAAACCCUGAUGCAGCGACGCCGCGUGUGGGAAGACGGUCCUCUGGAUUGUAAACCACUGUCCCCAGGGACGAAGAUGACGGUACCUGGGGAGGAAGCAUCGUCUAACUCCGUGCCAGCAGCCGCGGUAAUACGGAGGAUGCGAGCGUUAUCCGGAUUUAUUGGGUUUAAAGGGUGCGUAGGCGGAAUGCCAAGUCAGCGGUAAAAUCGCGGGGCUCAACCUCGCUCCGCCGGUGAAACUGGCGUUCUUGAGUGGGCGAGAAGUAUGCGGAAUGCGUGGUGUAGCGGUGAAAUGCAUAGAUAUCACGCAGAACUCCGAUUGCGAAGGCAGCAUACCGGCGCCCAACUGACGCUGAAGCACGAAAGCGUGGGUAUCGAACAGGAUUAGAUACCCGGGUAGUC